AUACGUAGGGGGCGAGCGUUGUCCGGAAUGAUUGGGCGUAAAGGGCGCGUAGGCGGCCCGGUAAGUCUGGAGUGAAAGUCCUGUUUUUGAGAUGGGAAUUGCUUUGGAUACUGUCGGGCUUGAGUGCAGGCGAGGGAAGUGGAAUUCCCAGUGUAGCGGUGAAAUGCGUAGAGAUUGGGAGGAACACCAGUGGCGAAGGCGACUUACUGGACUGUAACUGACGCUGAGGCGCGAAAGUGUUGGGAGCAAACAGGAUUAGAUACCCUGGUAGUCCACACUGUAAACGAUGAAUGCUAGGUGUAGGGGGCAUCGACCCCUUCUGUGCCGCAGUCAACACAAUAAGCAUUCCGCCUGGGGAGUACGGCCGCAAGGUUGAAACUCAAAUGAAUUGACGGGG
rnacentral:rRNA from 1 species